UGGGGAAUAUUGCACAAUGGAGGGAACUCUGAUGCAGCGACGCCGCGUGAGUGAUGAAGGACUUCGUUUCGUAAAACUCUGUUCUAUGGGAAGAAAAGGACUGUACCAUAGGAGAAAGCUCCGGCUAAAUACGUGCCAGCAGCCGCGGUAAUACGUAUGGAGCGAGCGUUGUCCGGAAUUAUUGGGCGUAAAGGGUGCGCAGGCGGCUUUACAAGUUGGAUGUGAAAUAUUGUGGCUCAACCACAAACGUGCAUCCAAAACUGCAAAGCUUGAGUUAAGGAGAGGUAAGUGGAAUUCCUGGUGUAGCGGUGGAAUGCGUAGAUAUCAGGAGGAAUACCGGUGGCGAAGGCGACUUACUAGACAAAAACUGACGCUCAGGCACGAAAGCGUGGGGAGCAAACAGG
rnacentral:rRNA from 1 species